GGGAUUGGCGACGUUGGUGCUCCCGGCGCGCCAGUGGAGGGCGGGAGCCCGACGGAGGAGUGUGGGCUGCGGGGCAGAUGUCAUGUGGCCUGUGCUUUGGACCGUGGUGCGUACCUAUGCUCCCUAUGUCACAUUCCCUGUGGCCUUUGUGGUCGGGGCUCUGCUAGGCAAGGACCACACCCAGGUGGUGAGCCUUAAGGACAAGCUGGAAUUUGCCCCUAAAGCUGUCCUGAACAGAAACCGACCGGAGAAGAAUUAACGAAGGACACAGGGCCCUAUGGGUCCUUCAGUGGGCCUUGUCUGGCCCUGCCACCAUGUCGACCCAGCUCUAGAACCCACAUCUGAUUUGCUUUAUUGCUUCUGGCCCCUCUUGCCCCACACAGCCACACACUCUGGCUGCUCUGCUGUGGCCAGGCAGACGCGCUGGUAGCCUCAGGGGCCAGUGAAGAGGAAGGCUCACGAGGGUUCUGACCUGAAAGUUGCAUCUGCUGGUUGGUGGCCACCGCUGCUCAGGCUUCUGCGCUGCUGGGUGCACCACUGGGAGGAGUUAUGAGAUGAACACUGGCUCUCAGUCCCUUCGGGGAAGCAGUUCGGCCCCAAGGGGGAGUGGCUGGGAUUGGGGGUUGUCUUUAGGAGGGAUACCUACAUGUCUAGUUCCAGUUCGCACUGGGAGGAGGUCACAGAUCUGCCUGGCUUGCCCUGUCCUUUGUGCUCAUUCUCCCUCCAGUCCUGGCCUAGCACUCAGGCAGGGAUUCCCCUGGGAAGGAAAGCCCUUUUGUUCUUGGGAGCCCAGGCUGUUCACCUUGGGGCAUGUGACUUCGCUUGAAAACAGUCACUACCUUUCACCCCCCCAUCACUGUUCAGAGCAAAACUUGAUUAAAGUGGUGUCUGAGAACCAUAUUGAUCUAAUCCUAUCUUCCAGGUGGUGUUGGGGUCUCCUUAGAGUUAUGCAAGUGCAGGUGACUCCAGGUAGGAAAACGCUGGCCUUUAACUGAAUAAGGACUUCGGGGCCAUAGAAACUUUGUUUUACUAACAUGGUUGUACUGGGUCCCAGAGGCACCCGUUCCCAAGAGCCUUUUUAUCAUGAUAACAAGAGGCUUAUAGGACCUUUCAAAGUCUAAAUUAGAGGAGCCCAGGAACCUGAACAAUUGUUGUCAGUUUACCAAUUUCAUGCACGUACGUAUACACACAUAUAGUUUUCCCGGUGAAAGUAGUAUUUGUACAUUAAAGAACAUUUGGUAGGGAUUUUAAAAAAAUGGUUACCCAAGAGAUCCCUCCAUUGCAUAGUGGGUUAAUAAUCCGGCUCAUCUCAUGGUGUUGCUAGGUCGAUGCCUGCUGCAGUGGUUUAAGGAUCUGGUGUUGCAGCUGUAGCCUAGGUUGUAGAUGUGGCUCGGAUUUGAUCCUGUGGCCCAGGAACUUUAUAUGCUGUGGGUGCAGCCAAAAAUGGGGAAAACAAAAACAAAAAACCCAAACAGAUAGUUAUCCACACUCUGAGGGCCCAUUUACAGCUAAAAAGCUCACAUUUUGGUAUCUUUCACUAAUUCUUGACCUAGUUUUUUGCUUUCUUUCUGAUGGUUAUCAUUACUGUACAUUUAAUUUUAUAUUCUUUUUUCACAUGGUGUUUCACAUCGUAAUCAUUUUCUCAUUUUAUCACAUGGUCUUCAUAGUCCUCAUUGUUUCAACAGCUGUAUAAUUGCCCAUUGAGUGGGAACAUAGCAU
rnacentral:lncRNA from 1 species